UACGUAGGGUGCAAGCGUUGUCCGGAAUUAUUGGGCGUAAAGAGCUCGUAGGCGGUCUGUCGCGUCUGCUGUGAAAACUCAGGGCUUAACCCUGAGCUUGCAGUGGAUACGGGCAGACUUGAGUUCGGUAGGGGGAGACUGGAAUUCCUGGUGUAGCGGUGAAAUGCGCAGAUAUCAGGAGGAACACCGGUGGCGAAGGCGGGUCUCUGGGCCGAUACUGACGCUGAGGAGCGAAAAGCGUGGGGGAGCGAACAGG
rnacentral:rRNA from 1 species